AAUCAGAAGAUUGGCAGGAUUUAGGAAUCUAUUUGAAAUAUUCAUUACCUAUUUUGAACUGGUCUUAAAAAUUUAAAGGAAUGUAAAGCUGGAUAAUUAAAGAUAAAAAAGGAAGAAUACAAGUUUUCUAUGCUAUGAAGCGACUGAGAUUAUUAUUAUUUUGGGGCAGUGAAUUUGUUUCUAGAAGUUUUGUUGGAACUAAGGCAAAAAGGAAGAAAAACAAAUGACCUUGGAAUGAAAAACUUUAAGUUACUCCACUUAACCACUAUGAAUGAUAGUCUUGUCUCACCAACCCCAGCCCAUCAUCUGUUGGACUUGGAGCUCACACUUUAAAAAAGAAGAUCAUUCUAACUGCUCCUCAUGACUGCUGAAGAGGCUAUGCCUGAAAAAGCAAAAUAACUCUUGCCCUUUCCAUGUGAGGACAGUGCUUCUUUUGGCUUUGAAUUGGGAAAUUAAUGUGAACCAGGCUCCAUUCCUCAGGACCUCAUUACCCUAA
rnacentral:sRNA from 1 species